rnacentral:rRNA from 1 species
AGGAAGUAAAAGUCGUAACAAGGUUUCCGUAGGUGAACCUGCGGAAGGAUCAUUACAGAAUUGUCAACACGAGUUGUUGCUGGUCUUCAGACGGAGACAUGUGCACGCUCUGUUCACACAUCCACUCACACCUGUGCACCUUCUGUAGUUCUGUGGCUCGGGGGCUCUGGCCCUCUGCUGUGGUUCUGCAAAUUUACUACACACACACCAUAAUGAAGUCUUGUGGAAUGUACACCGCGUUUAACGCAAUACAAUACAACUUUCAGCAACGGAUCUCUUGGCUCUCGCAUCGAUGAAGAACGCAGCGAAAUGCGAUAAGUAAUGUGAAUUGCAGAAUUCAGUGAAUCAUCGAAUCUUUGAACGCACCUUGCGCCCUUUGGCCAUUCCGAAGGGCAUGCCUGUUUGAGUAUCAUGAACACCUCAACUCUCAUGGCUUGCCAUGAUGAGCUUGGACUCUGGGGGUCUUGCUGGCCUAUGGUCGGCUCCUCUCAAAUGAAUCAGCUUGCCGGUUUUUGGUGGCGUCACAAGUGUGAUAACUGUCUACGCUUGCGACCUUUUACCAUGUGACCUUCAGCAAUGAAGGCCCACCGGGGCUCAUAAACGUCUCUCUUGAGUGAGGACAGCUCUUUGAACAUUUGAUCUCAAAUCAGGUAGGACUACCCGCUGAACUUAAGCAUAUCA